UACGGAGGGGGCUAGCGUUGUUCGGAAUUACUGGGCGUAAAGCGCACGUAGGCGGCGAUUUAAGUCAGGGGUGAAAGCCCAGUGCUCAACACUGGAACUGCCCUUGAGACUGGAUUGCUUGAAUCACGGAGAGGUGGGUGGAAUUCCGAGUGUAGAGGUGAAAUUCGUAGAUAUUCGGAAGAACACCAGUGGCGAAGUCGGCCCACUGGACGUGUAUUGACGCUGAGGUGCGAAAGCGUGGGGAGCAAACAGG
rnacentral:rRNA from 1 species